GAUGAACGCUGGCGGCGUGCCUAAUACAUGCAAGUCGAGCGAACGGACGAGAAGCUUGCUUCUCUGACGUUAGCGGCGGACGGGUGAGUAACACGUGGAUAACCUACCUAUAAGACUGGGAUAACUUCGGGAAACCGGAGCUAAUACCGGAUAAUAUUUUGAACCGCAUGGUUCAAAAGUGAAAGACGGUCUUGCUGUCACUUAUAGAUGGAUCCGCGCUGCAUUAGCUAGUUGGUAAGGUAACGGCUUACCAAGGCAACGAUGCAUAGCCGACCUGAGAGGGUGAUAGGCCACACUGGAACUGAGACACGGUCCAGACUCCUACGGGAGGCAGCAGUAGGGAAUCUUCCGCAAAGGGCGAAAGCCUGACGGAGCAACGCCGCGUGAGUGAUGAAGGUCUUCGGAUCGUAAAACUCUGUUAUUAGGGAAGAACAUAUGUGUAAGUAACUGUGCACAUCUUGACGGUACCUAAUCAGAAAGCCACGGCUAACUACGUG
rnacentral:rRNA from 1 species